GAUGAACGCUGGCGGCGUGCCUAGUACACGCAAGUCGAGCGAACAGACGAGGAGCUUGCUCCUCUGACGUUAGCGGCGGACGGGUGAGUAACACGUGGAUAACCUACCUAUAAGACUGGGAUAACUUCGGGAAACCGGAGCUAAUACCGGAUAAUAUAUUGAACCGCAUGGUUCAAUAGUGAAAGACGGUUUUGCUGUCACUUAUAGAUGGAUCCGCGCCGCAUUAGCUAGUUGGUAAGGUAACGGCUUACCAAGGCAACGAUGCGUAGCCGACCUGAGAGGGUGAUCGGCCACACUGGAACUGAGACACGGUCCAGACUCCUACGGGAGGCAGCAGUAGGGAAUCUUCCGCAAUGGGCGAAAGCUUGACGGAGCAACGCCGCGUGAGUGAUGAAGGUCUUCGGAUCGUAAAACUCUGUUAUUAGGGAAGAACAAAUGUGUAAGUAACUAUGCACGUCUUGACGGUACCUAAUCAGAAAGCCACGGCUAACUACGUG
rnacentral:rRNA from 1 species